GAGCCCCAGUCCCCAAUUCGAUAGGAUGAAGACUCUCUCUCCCGCUCAGGCUGGCGGGCGCCGUAGCAGACAUAUGAGUGUGUGCCAGACAACCAGAGGACACCACAGAGGAGAAGAAGGUCUUCUGAAUGAAGUGAAGAGCUGCAGUUAGGCUCACGGGGAAGAGGAGCACAGAAGAGAAGCAAUGCCCUCUGGGAUGCCGCUGGUCAGACAGGUGACAUGCAUGAGGCCACCUGAAUGACCCUCAGCCCCGGCGUCAUUACCGCUGACCAGCCUCAUCUCACAAACUCCCCGAGAGAGACGCCGAACGUGCUCCACAAGCAAGGCUGCGGAGAAAGCAUCGGAGAAG